UUAUUGGAGAGUUUGAUCCUGGCUCAGGACGAACGCUGGCGGCGUGCCUAAUACAUGCAAGUCGAGCGGACUUGAAGGAGUGCUUGCACUCCUGAUGGUUAGCGGCGGACGGGUGAGUAACACGUAGGUAACCUGCCCAUAAGACUGGGAUAACUACCGGAAACGGUAGCUAAUACCGGAUAGGUUCUACUCUCGCAUGAGAGAAGAAAGAAAGACGGAGCAAUCUGUCACUUAUGGAUGGACCUGCGGCGCAUUAGCUAGUUGGUGAGGUAACGGCUCACCAAGGCGACGAUGCGUAGCCGACCUGAGAGGGUGAUCGGCCACACUGGGACUGAGACACGGCCCAGACUCCUACGGGAGGCAGCAGUAGGGAAUCUUCCGCAAUGGGCGAAAGCCUGACGGAGCAACGCCGCGUGAGUGAUGAA
rnacentral:rRNA from 1 species